UGGCGGACGGGUGAGUAACGCGUAAAGAACUUGCCCCUUAGACUGGGAUAACAGAGGGAAACUUCUGAUAAUACUGGAUAAGUUAGUAUAUCGCAUGAUAUGCAAAUGAAAGCUACGGCACUAAAGGAGAGCUUUGCGUCCUAUUAGCUAGUUGGUAAGGUAAGAGCUUACCAAGGCGAUGAUAGGUAGCCGGCCUGAGAGGGUGGACGGCCACAAGGGGACUGAGAUACGGCCCUUACUCCUACGGGAGGCAGCAGCU
rnacentral:rRNA from 1 species